rnacentral:rRNA from 1 species
AAAGCGACUUUCAGUCGUGAGGAAGGUGGUGUAGUUAAUAGCUGCAUCAUUUGACGUUUAGCGACAGAAGAAAGCACCGGCUAACUCCGUGCCAGCAGCCGCGGUAAUACGGAGGGUGCGAGCGUUAAUCGGAAUUACUGGGCGUAAAGCGCAUGCAGGUGGUUUGUUUAAGUCAGAUGUGAAAGACCCGGGGCGUCAACCUCGGAAUUGCAUUUGUAAACUAGGCAGACUAGAGUACUGUAGAGGGGGGUAGGAAUUUCAGGUGUAGCGGUGAAAUGCGUAGAGAUCUGAAGGAAUACCGGUGGCGAAGGCGGCCCCCUCGGACAGAUACUGACACUCAGAUGCGAAAGCGUGGGGAGCAAACAGGAUUAGAUACCCUGGUAG